rnacentral:telomerase_RNA from 1 species
UCCAUGACAUCCUGAAUGGCUGUCACCUCGUCAAGGUUGCUCAUGUAGCACCAAGUAACCCUAAAUAUAGUCAUGCACGCGCCAGACUUUGGCGGCAAACCCCACGAGGGGGUAUUUAGCCAGGGUUUCCCUCCUCAACCAAACAACCAAACCCUAGAGUGGAGUCUGGCAGGGUGCCAGGAGCCGAUGGUAUAGGCACCAGCCUCAUUGAGGGCAGAUGGAGCUUACUGUGUAACAAUGCAGUAUGAGUGGUUCGUCCACGCUCUCUGUCUAUUCCGGAUGAAGGUUCAAACAACGAUGCUGCUAUUUGCAACUUUCACUUCUGAAAUGCACAGCUGUUGCAUU